CUCAGUUUUAGCCUAAUUAGCUGCACCUGUGACCUCUCAGCAUCUGACCGCCGCCUGCUCACCUCCAUCAAGACUCCACCUUGAAUACCUGUAUAUACGUUUUAUCAGAAGUCUCUCCCGAAGUAAUGUUCCACCUGGAAGUUGGCGUUUCCUGUCCUGCUGUCUGCCUGCACAUUUGGACCAUGGCUCUUCUCUCCAUGAGACACCAGGGACCACUGCUUCACUUCAACAAGCUAAAUCCCCGAACUCCCUGAAGGACUGCUAAACACUGGCGACAAUAAGCGAAAACCUUAAAACUCCCAUCUGUUGAAGGAAGCCAAAACUGAGAGGAAGUCCAGAUGAGACGAUAAUCCACAGAACAAAGCCUGCAGAUGAUCUGCGGCUGUUCAGCUUCCAGUCCUGGCAGCUCUCGCCUCUCUGGCCAACGGGAACCUUAACCAGCCUUCUGUCUCUGGAGCUUUCCUCCCAUUCGCCCCCUCCCCAGUCCUCCAAACCUCCAGGCUCUGCCCAGUUGUCUGUUCCAGACUCUGUGGGACGAUUUAGGGAGCUGCUAGCCAGCAAGGAUGAAUGAAGGGCUCCGGCAUGGCGGGAUGAACUCUUUCUCCCAUAUUUACAACCGCUCAGACAGUCCAUGACAGGUGCCUUCCCACAGGCCAACUUCUCUCAGUUAGAGGGGCAUUAGGUAAUGUAUGAAUUUCAUUGAACUCAGGGAUGAGGGGGAGCUGCAGCAUCACUGACAGCAGCAUUCAUCUCAUCUCUAGUUUACCCCCACUCAUUGUGUCCCCUUUAUUUUAUCUGUAGAAAAACAGGUUUGGGCAGACAUGCAACAAUAACAUCUAGUAAAGAGGUUGUUUGAUGAUGCAGCAUGCUAAAACAAUGACAUUAAUAAAAUAAAUAAUAUUUUUGGCCUCAUAACAAGAUCAUCUGUAAUGUCUUUCAGUGUCCAGUUGUAGCACCAUCUGUCAGUGUUUUCGAUCUAACACAGGUUGGGAAAGUUAGUUUUCAAAAGCUAGAAAUCCCUGCACUUGCUGAAGUAAUCGUUGAGUCAUUGGUAUUGAACCCUGUGAAACCCCUGCAGACCCACACUGUGGUCAUUUUGUGCUAUGGGGCUGUAAAUAUCUUACUUAUUGCACCUUUAAGAGGUGAGAAAUCGAACAUCUGAUGCCCAGCCGAGGGUGUGAAUGGAGGCGGCUGUAAUCCUCCCUGUGUUUAUGUGUUACAUAUGUCUGUAUGUGUGUGGGUGCAUAGCAUGUAUGCGAUUUAUGUAGUAACUGACAGCUUCUUAAAGACUGCAGAUAUGUUUUUUCCUUUUAUUAUGGAAAUGCCUAUACUCUCCAGAUAGAGAAGAGUAUAUAUUUUUCAUGGAUUCACUAAAAUCCUUACUGCAGCACUGGAACCACACCAGCAACAAUACAAUACUGUAUGUCUUAAACAGAAACCAAAAAAAUAAAAAUAAAAACUACUGCAAAAUAUUUUUAAAAGGAUUUCUACUCUUCACUUGUGAAUGUGGAUGAUGACAUUUAAAGAGCUAUGUUGAGAAAUACGAGGGUUCUGAUAUUCCCCAGUUAUAAACCACUGGAUGAUUUGUAGUGUUAAUAUAUUUGUGACACAACAUCAGCCGUCUGUGGGGAGGAAAACUGCAGAAAACAGUGAAGCGGCAACAUCCGAAGUGUCAAAAAGAGGAACUUUACAGGAAAGUAGCAGCACACUCACUUCUAUUCUCUCAAGGUGUUUCUUCAACAUCUCAAUCCAAACUGCUAUAAACUUAGUUUUUCAAAUGGUAUAUAACUAAAUUGGAAUUUAAGCUUUUACACCUAAUAACAUCACAUUGUGAGAUGCUGAUUCAUCAGACACGAAUAUACACAUUCACAUUGUUUACAGCUUUUCACCCUGAUUUUUUUCCCCAAAAAUGCACCGAUUAGUUUCCCCUUUCAUCCAAAAGUUGUAUUUCCUCCUGUACCAACAUGUUGGUCAUCACAGUUCACAGUAAACAAGGUCCUCUAGGAAAAACUAAGAGCUCAGAAGGAGAAGUGAAAAAUGGAGAGAGUGUGCAAAUGAGCUGUUGUUUAUCUACCCGAGUCCCUUUAGGUACGAACAACAUAAUGGUAUUUUGAAAAUUUCAAAUA